rnacentral:rRNA from 1 species
GAUGAACGCUGGCGGCGUGCUUAACACAUGCAAGUCGAACGGUGAAGGCGGAGCUUGCUCUGCUGGAUCAGUGGCGAACGGGUGAGUAACACGUGAGCAAUCUGCCCCUGACUCUGGGAUAAGCGCUGGAAACGGCGUCUAAUACUGGAUACGAGCUGCGAAGGCAUCUUCAGCAGCUGGAAAGAAUUUCGGUCAGGGAUGAGCUCGCGGCCUAUCAGCUUGUUGGUGAGGUAAUGGCUCACCAAGGCGUCGACGGGUAGCCGGCCUGAGAGGGUGACCGGCCACACUGGGACUGAGACACGGCCCAGACUCCUACGGGAGGCAGCAGUGGGGAAUAUUGCACAAUGGGCGAAAGCCUGAUGCAGCAACGCCGCGUGAGGGACGACGGCCUUCGGGUUGUAAACCUCUUUUAGCAGGGAAGAGGCGAAAGUGACGGUACCUGCAGAAAAAGCGCCGGCUAACUACGUG